AGCGCAGGCGGGAAGACAAGUUGGAAGUGAAAUCUAUGGGCUCAACCCAUAAACUGCUUUCAAAACUGUUUUUCUUGAGUAGUGCAGAGGUAGGCGGAAUUCCCGGUGUAGCGGUGGAAUGCGUAGAUAUCGGGAGGAACACCAGUGGCGAAGGCGGCCUACUGGGCACCAACUGACGCUGAGGCUCGAAAGUGUGGGUAGCAAAC
rnacentral:rRNA from 1 species